rnacentral:rRNA from 1 species
AGCGAACGCUGGCGGCAUGCCUAACACAUGCAAGUCGCACGGGGGGGCUUCGGCCUCCCAGUGGCGGACGGGUGAGGAACGCGUAGGGACCUGUCGAGGGGUGGGGGAUAACCGCGGGAAACUGCGGCUAAUACCGCAUGACGCCGCGGCGUGACAGCCGGGGCCAAAGGCGAAAGCCGCCCGCCGGGGGGCCUGCGUCCGAUUAGCUGGGUGGCGGGGUAGCGGCCCACCAAGGCGUCGAUCGGUAGCUGGUCUGAGAGGGUGAUCAGCCACACCGGGACUGAGACACGGCCCGGACUCCUACGGGAGGCAGCAGUGGGGAAUAUUGGACAAUGGGCGCAAGCCUGAUCCAGCAAUGCCGCGUGGGUGAAGAAGGUCUUCGGAUUGUAAAGCCCUUUCGGCGGGGACGAUGGUGACGGUACCCGCAGAAGAAGCCCCGGCUAACUUCGUG